rnacentral:rRNA from 1 species
CCUACGGGAGGCAGCAGUGGGGAAUAUUGGACAAUGGGCGCAAGCCUAAUCCAGCCAUACCGCGUGGGUGAAGAAGGCCUUCGGGUUGUAAAGCCCUUUUGUUGGGAAAGAAAUCCAGCCGGCUAAUACCUGGUUGGGAUGACGGUACCCAAAGAAUAAGCACCGGCUAACUUCGUGCCAGCAGCCGCGGUAAUACGAAGGGUGCAAGCGUUACUCGGAAUUACUGGGCGUAAAGCGUGCGUAGGUGGUUAUGUAAGUCCGUUGUGAAAGCCCUGGGCCCAACCUGGGAACUGCAGUGGAUACUGGAUGACUAGAAUGUGGUAGAGGGUAGCGGAAUUCCUGGUGUAGCAGUGAAAUGCGUAGAGAUCAGGAGGAACAGCCAUGGCGAAGGCAGCUACCUGGACUAAUACUGACACUGAGGGGCGAAAGCGUGGGGAGCAAACAGGAUUAGAUACCCUGGUAGUC